GCGCGGUUCUGUAUGUGCAUCUGCGAGGCGGAUCAUUA
rnacentral:rRNA from 1 species